GUGAGGGAUCUGACUGCAACACCUGUUACCCCAUUGAUGGCCAGGGCUGAUCUAGCUGAUCUGGCCGAGGAGGAUGACCACCCUCGACAGAGGAGGACCGUUUCCUGGGUCAAGGGUAUAGAGUAGCUGCACUCCCUUGCUAGAACCUCCAAACAAGCUCUCAAGACUUAGCUGGCCUCACACCCCACCCUUUGAGACAGUUCCACAUGUGGAACACAUCUGUGUGUAAAUCUGU
rnacentral:snRNA from 1 species